rnacentral:rRNA from 1 species
GACAUAGGUGGCAAGCGUUAUUCGGAAUUACUAGGCGUAAAGCGAGUGUAGGCGGACUCUUAAGUCUGACGUUAAAUCUCCCGGCUUAACUGGGAGCUGUCGUCGGAUACUGCGGAACUUGAGGACGGUAGAGGCGUGUGGAAUUCCGGGUGUAGUGGUGAAAUGCGUAGAGAUCCGGAGGAACACCAGUGGCGAAGGCGACACGCUGGGCCGUACCUGACACUGAUGCGCGACAGCGUGGGGAGCAAACAGG